ensembl:lncRNA
UUGGUGUAAGAGCCACAUAGACACUAGUUCAUCUGAAAUAAUAAUUUAGUAAAAUGAAUAAGAAAAUAUUUUAUUAAAAUUCAUAAGAAAUAUUUUGGUUUAAAAUGCAUACUUAGUAAUGUGUAGAUCUGUUAACAUUUAAUUAUUUUGAGCUUCCAGUCAGAUCGCACUACGUCAUAAUGCAAGCGAUUGGAUGUUUAGUUUUAGUUUGAAGUUAGAGACGUUGGAAGCAAUACAGUUUUUUGACCGUGCGUACCAUGUAACAUUUUUUAUUUUAUGUUUUGGAAGUAAACAUUUCAAAAGAAGAUCGUGGUUUGCUCGUGUUUCAAAUACUGGUUAUAAUUCGACUGACUUCAAAAAGUGGUACAGAACAAUUAGAAGCAACUAGGUGCCACUACAUUAGUCAAAAAACUCGCUAAUCUGAAACGCCAUUGGAUUACUUGGAUAAGAGGAGGACGUGGCGAGCUUGUUGUUGGAUGAGGAAACAGCGGAUUGGACUUUAGCGCCGCGAACAAGCCACAGAGCUGGGACAAGUCUGCUCAAGAGACCCGCGACGGAUCUGCAGUUUCACCGCUGUUUGUCGAGAUUUCCUCCGCCCCGCUAGCUAACGGCUAGUUGGCCUGUCAGUCAACAGAGAAGUGACGCUGCAAGCUGAAGUGUGGACUUUUUUCUUAAAAAAGACGGGAUACAAACGAACGAGGAUAAUGAGAUACUGCCCCGUGGUAGAGAGCAAGGCAUUAAGAUCAGUGGUGUGAGGAAACGUGGAGAACGAGAGCUGGGGGCAUUGAUCUGUGACUGCAGAUAGCAGAGAGGCCGUGAGG